GACCACUCUAUUUAGUGCAUGUUAAAAACAGCAGGAGAUGCCGAAACAUGAGAGAACUCAUUCUAAAUUAUAGAUUAGAAGGGCAAAAAAUGGGGACAACCUGAACAGGGAGGGAAUUCCUCACCCAGUCAGCUUGGCAGGUUGGGUUCCUUGCCCUGACUCUGGUUUGGGGUUGGGUGGGGGGAGGUAGGGAGCCCCAAAAAUUGAAAAGAAUGUGAAAUUUGGGAUUUGUCGAAAAGUAAGAUAGUACCGUAUGGUGGCCUUUCCACCAAUCAUUUGGAUGCAUCUUUAUGCAAUAUAUAUAAAAGGGAUUCGAAUAAUAACUUAAAAAAUUCAGUGACCAUGGAGAAACAUCAUAAAUUUCAAAGAUCAUUUAGUAACUCAAGAAAAAAGUGUUGACCAUUUAGAAACAUGAUUUGUCUAGUUGGGUGUCAGAAACCUCUUUGAUGGAAUCACUUAAAGUGGUGGAUGGGUAUCACUUUCAACAGCUCAAUAAACAUGAGAAACAAUGUAAAGUUCGAUGACGUUCUAGUAAUACUGGCAAAGUUUAGUGACCAAUAAAAUAAUUAACUCGUUUAUAUUAUACAGAUACCAUCAAUCUGUAAAUGCAAACUAGGACUGGAACUUUAUCAUCUCCUCUAAUAGACUUUAAAUCAAAGAAUACUGGAUUCUAACGGAACAUCUCAUACGUUGUCGGUGCUCUUCAUUAUGCAUUCACUUGGCAAUUUUCAACUAUGAGAUUGGAGAAAAGGAGGAUAUAAGAAAAGAUAUGACAAACUUCAAGGCCACAAGAAAGAAAGAUAAUGUAGGGCUUAUUUGGGACAGUUUUUG
rnacentral:lncRNA from 1 species